AUGAGUAUCCUAUGUUGGAACUGCCGCGGUGCGGGCAAAGCCGCGACAGUUCGGGAGCUUCGCGAGUUAGCGAGGAAAUUUGCCCCUACCCUACUUUGUAUCGUAGAAACACAGCUGGAUAGAGCAAGGGUAGAGAGUUUGGCUAGUAGUCUUGGUUUUGAUAAAGCUUAUGCUGUUAGUAGUCAGGGUCGGAGUGGUGGACUCGGAAUUUUCUGGAAUAAUCCAAUAAAUAUAGAGAUUUUGGGCUACUCAGUUUAUCACAUUGAUUGUUCUCUCACAGAUCUAGGUCAGGACCCAUGGAGGGCCACUGUUUUUUAUGGAGAGGCCCAAACCAGUUUGAGACAUCAUACUUGGGACAUAAUGAAGGGGAUAGCUACUUUAAGCGAUCUACCUUGGGUCUGCAUAGGCGAUUUUAAUGAAGUGCUGCGUCCAGAAGAACAAGAAGGCAUUGGAGAGAGGAGUAAUGCACAAAUCCAAGGUUUUAGGGAGGCGGUGGACAUUUGCAUGUUGGCGGAUUUGGGCUAUCAAGGUAACUUUUGGACGUUUGAAAAGAAGGUCUCGGGAGGGAGCUACACCAGAGUGCGCCUAGAUAGAGCGCUUGCGACGGGUGCAUGGGCGCUGAAGUUUCCCACAGCCACGGUUAUCCAUCUUACGGCUACGACUUCGGUCCACGCCCCGAUCCUCUUGAAGACUGCGGAUGGUGAAAGUCGCCCACCGGCGAAACACCCCUUCAGGUAUGAGGUUAUGUGGGAGAUGCAUGAAACGUGGCAAGAUACACUCUCGCGGUGCUGGAGCGAGGGACAACCAACAUCGAGCCUGGAAGAGUUGCAAGCAAAGUUGCGGACUAUAUCUGACAGUCUUGGAAAUUGGAAUAAGAACACUUUUGGAAGCGUCCGCAAAGAAAUAAAGAACCUGCUGGCCGAGCUAGAACAACUGAGAGGGGACCCAAGGAGGAUCGGACCAUCACAUGUAGAACUUAAAAUCAAUGAAAAGCUCGUUGAGUUUUACCAUCGGGAAGAACUGAUGUGGCGUCAAAGAUCUAGGCUCGAAUGGCUUGCAUCAGGAGACAAAAACACAAUUUUUUUUCAUAUGAGGGCUUCUAUGAGGAGAAAGAAGAACAUGAUUAAAGCCCUAGAGAAUGCUCUUGGAGUGAAUGUUAGCGAUCCGGCUGAACUAAGAACACUCGUGACUGAUUUUUACAAGUCUCUAUACACAUCUGCGGGGGUAACUAAUUUGGACCAAGUUCUCCAACAUGUUCCUGUAAGGGUCACCCAAAGCAUGAACGAGGCGCUGGUUGCCCCGUAUACCCGGGAGGAAGUUAAAACGGCACUCUUUCAGAUGGCCUCAACUAAGGCGCCGGGGCCCGAUGGCUUCCCGGCCCAGUUCUAUCAGCGGCAUUGGGAUAUCUGUGGAGAAGAGGUCACGAGAGCAGUCCUGAGAAUUGUAAGAGGGGAGGAAAGUGCAGAAUGUGUUAAUGACACAGUACUAGUGUUAAUUCCAAAGGUUAUGAACCCAACCCUCUUAUCUCAGUUUCGCCCCAUUAGCUUAUGCAAUGUCAUUUACAAGAUUGCGUCCAAGGUUAUAGCAAACAGGUUGAAAGUAAUCUUGCCAGAUAUCAUCUCAGCGGAGCAAUCAGCUUUUGUCCCGGGCCGUCUCAUCACAGAUAAUAUUAUUUGUGCAUACGAGUGCUUGCAUUUCAUGAAGAGGAGUAAGGCCAAAUCAAAUAGUCAUUGUGCACUCAAGCUUGACAUGAUGAAAGCAUAUGACAAGCUAGAAUGGGCUUAUCUGCGAGCGAUUAUGGUCAAGCUUGGUUUUAUGCAGCAGUGGGUGGACAUUAUAAUGGGUAUGAUCAGUUCAGUUUCUUUCUCAGUUUCUUUUAAUGGAGAAAAGCUAGAACUUUUUACACCAUCAUGUGGUAUUCGACAGGGAGAUCCGAUUUCCCCUUAUCUAUUUUUGAUUGUAGCAGAGGGCCUUUCGUGCCUCCUAAAACACAGUUCUCAGUCGUCUUUGCUCAGUGGGAUUAAGGUGGCUCCGACAGCUCCGGUUGUGAACCAUCUCGUAUUUGCGGAUGAUAGCCUGCUGCUUUUCAAGGCUAGUAAUGAGGGUGCGACGGCGGUGUCAAACCUAUUGAAUACCUAUUGUGAUGCAUCUGGUCAGAGAGUCAAUCAUAGCAAGUCCUCGAUUUUUUUCAGCAAGGGGUGCCCACAACAGAGGAGAGAAAGCAUUAAGCAUAUCCUUAAUGUUCAGAAUGAGACCCUGAGCGAACGCUAUUUGGGAAUGCCAACAGAUGUUGGUCAAUAA
rnacentral:rRNA from 1 species